rnacentral:rRNA from 1 species
AGUGAACGCUGGCGGUAGGCCUAACACAUGCAAGUCGAACGGCAGCACAGUAAGAGCUUGCUCUUACGGGUGGCGAGUGGCGGACGGGUGAGGACUACAUCGGAAUCUACUUUUUCGUGGGGGAUAACGUAGGGAAACUUACGCUAAUACCGCAUACGACCUACGGGUGAAAGCAGGGGAUCUUCGGACCUUGCGCGAUUGAAUGAGCCGAUGUCGGAUUAGCUAGUUGGCGGGGUAAAGGCCCACCAAGGCGACGAUCCGUAGCUGGUCUGAGAGGAUGAUCAGCCACACUGGAACUGAGACACGGUCCAGACUCCUACGGGAGGCAGCAGUGGGGAAUAUUGGACAAUGGGCGCAAGCCUGAUCCAGCCAUACCGCGUGUGUGAAGAAGGCCUUCGGGUUGUAAAGCCCUUUUGUUGGGAAAGAAAAGCAGCAGGUUAAUACCCCGCUGUGCUGACGGUACCCAAAGAAUAAGCACCGGCUAACUUCGUG